CCACGUCUGCGCUUUAGCCCAGCAAACACCAUCUCCAGUAGCUCGACUAUGACUAGCUCGACGGUGAUGAGGUUGUUUGGACCGAAGCCAAAGUAUGGAUGUACAAUAAAUGCCCCCCACUCUCAAGACUGAGCUGCUAAUAGGUUGGCUGAAGAGAGUAUCUAGUCUGAGAUCGAGGCUGAUAUAGUCAAGUUAUUUUUCGUUGACAUGUGCCGA
rnacentral:lncRNA from 1 species